ACUGGCCAGCGUCAUCGAGUGCAGUCGUACUGUCACGUGGUGCAUCUUUGUUUUGCAGUACUUCUCCCCUGUUCAUCAAUUUUUGCGAUGGCUGAAACGAAGGGACAGCAUGCUUCUAUAAAAUUCUGCUUUCUGCUAGGGAAAACGGUGGCUGAAACAGUUGUCAUGCUUUAAACAGCUUAAAAGAAUGCUGCCAUGCAC